rnacentral:lncRNA from 1 species
CUCAAGUAGAGCUGGGACUACAGUGCACACCACCAUGCCCAGCAAUGUGUGAAAGAGCCUCUUUCCCUACUGCUUCACCAAGUUUAAAACUUCAAAUUUUUUCAACUUGAUAGGUCAGAAGGAAACUACUUGCUCAAAAGGAGACCAGAGGAAUGAAAAUGUGGUAUAACCAGGAGUUGCGAAGUGGUCGUAGUUGUUCAUGUCUCAAUCUGGAUCAUCUUUGCUUUUUGCUUCUGCUUUGUGCUAUCCCUCUUCCCGUACCUCAGUUCUAUCUGGAACCAUGAUCUGUGACUGCCAUGGAAAAGUGUUGGGCAGGAGGAGGCCAGCUGGGUCUUUGAAGUUGACAAUGGAGCCAGGAAUGAAAGCUGCACUUAGGAUGAGAAUUGCUUUCCCUGGAGCCAAGUCAGCAAAUGCAGUCUGGUUGUCAGAGCUGAGAGGCUUCACCAAGUCAAGUAGGGGAGGACAUCUUCACUCUGCAACUUGCCCUACUGAAUGCAGAAAGUACUGUCUACUUAGAUAAAGCCUACACUAAAAGGGAAUUGAAUCUCUGCAAAUAAGUAUGUGGAUCUAAUUUCUACCUUCCAGAUUAAAAGUAUAAUUAAAAAUGAAAACCUUUGUAGGACUAAAUUGAUUUUGCAGACAAAUCUCACUUCUUAGCUUGAGCUGACUUAUUCCCAAUCUUAAACCCUAAUUAAUAACAUACAAGAAUGAGU